GGGUGGGGGGUUACUUUGGGGAAAGGAUGAGAAAGGGGAAGAGGGUUUGGGGAGGGGGUGAGAGAGAGAGAGAGAGAGAGAAAGUAACAGAGAGAGAGAUGGGGUUGACUCUAUGAAUGGGAAAGAGGGAAAUGGGCGUAGGAGAAGAGGAACAAAGGGUUUGGGGAGGUGCCAGAGAGAAAGAGAGAGAGAGAUUUCUAAUUGCUUCUAAUUUUAGAUAUGUAAAAUUAGAAAGUUAAUACUAAAAAAUAAAAUCAGAUUUCAAAAAAUAGAUUAUCAAAAUACUUUACCAUCAUCUAUUACCUAUACUAUUUGACACCUCCAUCAAAGGCGACGUGGCAUCUCUCCCUAUGCUUCCUUCCACGUGGCGAAGGGGAAUUUAUCCCCACAUCUACCCCAUUCUCCUACUCUCUCUCUCUCUCUCUCUCUCCACGUCACAUCUACCUGGCACACUCUUCUUUUUCCCCUUCUGCGGUUCUCCCUCUCUCCGCCCCUCUCUCUCUCUUCCCCUAUACUCCUACCCUCUCACUCUCUCUUCCCCUCUACUUCUACCCUGUCCCUCUUUCUCUCCCCCCCUACUCCUAGCCGAAGCCCUCUCUCUCUCUCUCGCCCCCUCUAUUCUCUUAUUAUUUGACGUUUCGCUUUCCGAAAGGCCACUUUCUCCCAAUUCGACUCUUCACCACUUGAAGGGUUUUUUUUUCUAAGCAUCUCUCUCUAACCUCCAGUGCUCUCUCUCCUUCCUCCCAAAGUUUCUCUCUCUAUUCUCUCUCUAUCUAUGCCUUCUCUCUUUCCUUCCCUCCCAAAGUUUCUUUCUCUAUUAUCUCUAUACCUGCGCCUUGGUCAUGAGGACGGCGAUGACUUGGAUGAUGUCAGCAGCGGUAACCGCGGCAGCGUGAGCGGCGUUCACGGCAGCAAGAGCGACUUGGGCGACGUUAGCGGUGGACACGACGGCGGCAACAUCAUACAAAAAAAANAAAAAACCCGCAGCUACUAGCUUCUUUUUUUUUUUUCUUUUUACUCUUCUCCUGAUUCUCUUUUUCUUUUUCUUUGUACUUACCUAUUCUUCUUUUUUUCCUUCUUCUUUCUUUCGUUUUUUCACUUCUAGCCUGACAAUGGCUAUGGCAGUUUGGGUGGUUGAGCGGCGGCGGCGGCGGUCACGGCGGCGUAGGCGUUUGCGCACAGCAGCAUCGGCGACAGUUACUAUAGCAACAACGACUUUUCUCCUUUUCGUUUUCUCCUCUUUUUUUUUUAACUCUUCUCCUUAUCCUUUUUUCUUCUUCUUUCUUUCCUUUAUUUCUUGCCGGACAACAUCGAUGGCAGCUUAGGUGGUGCCAGCGGCGGCUUGGCCGGCGUCGGCAAUACGCACGACAGUGAGAAGCAGCGUCGGCGGUCGUGGUGGCAGUGGUGGCCGCGGGAACAAUGGAGGUCA
rnacentral:lncRNA from 1 species